rnacentral:rRNA from 1 species
GAUGAACGCUGGCGGCGUGCCUAAUACAUGCAAGUCGAGCGAACAGAUAAGGAGCUUGCUCCUUUGAAGUUAGCGGCGGACGGGUGAGUAACACGUGGGUAACCUACCUAUAAGACUGGGAUAACUUCGGGAAACCGGAGCUAAUACCGGAUAACAUUUAGAACCGCAUGGUUCUAAAGUGAAAGAUGGUUUUGCUAUCACUUAUAGAUGGACCCGCGCCGUAUUAGCUAGUUGGUAAGGUAACGGCUUACCAAGGCGACGAUACGUAGCCGACCUGAGAGGGUGAUCGGCCACACUGGAACUGAGACACGGUACAGACUCCUACGGGAGGCAGCAGUAGGGAAUCUUCCGCAAUGGGCGAAAGCCUGACGGAGCAACGCCGCGUGAGUGAUGAAGGGUUUCGGCUCGUAAAACUCUGUUAUUAGGGAAGAACAAAUGUGUAAGUAACUGUGCACAUCUUGACGGUACCUAAUCAGAAAGCCACGGCUAACUACGUG